rnacentral:rRNA from 1 species
UACGUAGGGUGCGAGCGUUAAUCGGAAUUACUGGGCGUAAAGCGUGCGCAGGCGGUUCGCCAAGUCAGGGGUGAAAUCCCCGGGCUUAACCUGGGAAUUGCGCUUGAAACUAGCGGGCUUGAGUGUGGCAGAGGGGGGUGGAAUUCCACGUGUAGCAGUGAAAUGCGUAGAGAUGUGGAGGAACACCGAUAGCGAAGGCAGCUUACUAAGGAGUAACUGACGCUGAGGCACGAAAGUGUGGGGAUCAAACAGG